AUUGAACGCUGGCGACAGGCCUAACACAUGCAAGUCGGGCGGAGCGGCGGACGGGUGUGUAAUGUAUAGGGCUCUGCCUGGUGGAGGGGGAUCACUACUGGAAACGGUAGCUAAUACCGCCUACCAUCAGAUGACCCCAUAUGGGAUUAGCUAGUUGGUGGGGUAAAGGCAUACCAAGGCGACGAUCCGUAACUGGUCUGAGAGGAUGAUCAGUCACACUGGAACUGAGACACGGUCCAGACUCCUACGGGAGGCAGCAGUGGGGAAUAUUGGACAAUGGGCGAAAGCCUGAUCCAGCCAUGCCGCGUGUGUGAAGAAGGUCUUCGGAUUGUAAAGCACUUUAAGUUGGGAGGCGUUACCAACAGAAUAAGCACCGGCUAACUUCGUGCCAGCCGCCGCGGUAAUAC
rnacentral:rRNA from 1 species